CGAGAAAUACUAACAGCAGUUGCUAACCAAGCCUAACUGAAAAUAAGCGCCUAACUGAAGAUAAGCGUGAGAACACUGUUAACAGGAAACUGCUCAUUAACAAAGAACCCAUUAACCAGAUCUAGAUUCCAUACUACACGUCCAGAAGAGAUCCAAAGCCCAGCCCAAGGAAAAAUAGAAUAUAUCUAACAAACAAGACCCAUAAUUCCACACGCAACUAGAGACACAGGUCAACAAACAACUCAAGCUUCCUCAUCAGCAGCCGCCGACUUUGACGAACCAGCCUUCUUGGGCAGAAGAAGGUUGUGGAUGUUCGGCAUCACCCCACCAUUAGCAAUAGUCACCAUCCCCAGCAACUUCGAAAGCUCCUCAUCAUUCCUCACAGCAAGCUGAAUAUGCCUCGGUACAAUCCUAGUCUUCUUGUUAUCCCUCGCCGCAUUCCCAGCCAACUCCAAAACCUCGGCUGCGAGAUACUCCAGGACGGCAGCGAGAUAGACCGGAGCGCCGGCGCCGACCCUCUCGGCGUACUUGCCGGCCUUGAGGAAGCGGGCGAUACGGCCGACCGGGAACUGGAGACCGGCCUUGCUGCUCCUCGAGGUCGCCUUCUUCGCCGCUGCGGAGCCGACCGCCUUGCCUCGUCCGGCCAUUGCUGAGAGCGAGAGACGAUGAUUGAGG
rnacentral:misc_RNA from 1 species